GGCAAGUUGGCAGAUGGAUGUGUUUGAUUUAGGAUCAAAAGAGGGGGUUAUAGUAGUGCCCCACUUGUUU
rnacentral:tRNA from 1 species